UAUUAUAAUAAAAUAUAAGGAAUAAGGGUCAAAUAGGCCAUUGAAUUACACAUGAAACUACAAUUAGGCCAUCCAACUCAAAAAAACUACAAUUAGGUC